rnacentral:tRNA from 1 species
GCUCGGCUAGCUCAAUGGGAGAGCGCCUGGUUCACACCCAGGAGGCUGGAGGUUCGAGCCCUCCGCUGAGCA